rnacentral:tRNA from 1 species
ACAGGUAUAGCUCAGCAGAAGAGUGUACGCCUAGCAUGCACAAGGUCCUGGGUUCAAUCCCCAGUACCUCCA